rnacentral:rRNA from 1 species
UACGUAGGGGGCAAGCGUUGUCCGGAUUUAUUGGGCGUAAAGAGCUCGUAGGCGGUUUGUCGCGUCUGCUGUGAAAUCCCGAGGCUCAACCUCGGGCCUGCAGUGGGUACGGGCAGACUAGAGUGCGGUAGGGGAGAUUGGAAUUCCUGGUGUAGCGGUGGAAUGCGCAGAUAUCAGGAGGAACACCGGUGGCGAAGGCGGUUCUCUGGGCAUUACCUGACGCUGAGGAGCGAAAGCAUGGGGAGCGAACAGG